rnacentral:rRNA from 1 species
UACGUAGGGGGCAAGCGUUGUCCGGAUUUAUUGGGCGUAAAGAGCGUGUAGGCGGCUGGGUAGGUCCGUUGUGAAAACUCGAGGCUCAACCUCGAGACGCCGAUGGAAACCCUCCAGCUAGAGUCCGGAAGAGGAGAGUGGAAUUCCUGGUGUAGCGGUGAAAUGCGCAGAUAUCAGGAGGAACACCGAUUGCGAAGGCAGCUCGCUGGGACGUUACUGACGCUGAGACGCGAAAGCGUGGGGAGCAAACAGG